rnacentral:misc_RNA from 1 species
AAUUCUCAACGAUGGAUAUCUUGGUUCCCAUAACGAUGAAGAACGCAGCGAAGUGCGAUAAGCAGUGCGAAUUGCAGAACCGUGAGUCAUCAGAUUUUUGAACGCAACUGGCGCCAGCUGGCUCUCCAGCUGGCAUGCUUGUUUCAGUGUCUCGUUAACUCCUCACCCAAACCUUAAUGCGAGAGAUGCCCUUCUCUUGCCAAGCACGAAAGCACUCUGCACUCUGCAGGCGAUCUCGGUUCUGCCGAGGGUCGCACUCAAUGCAGCAGUCACAUUGAUCACAGUGUGAACUCAUUGAGAGCAGAGGCAGCGCGGGCUUGCCUGCCAGUGCUUAGACACACAAACUUUCAUUGCAUCUGAAAUCAAGCAGGAUCACCCGCUGAACUUAAGCAUAUCACUAAGCGGAGGAAAAGAAAUUAACUAAGAUUGCCUCAGUAACGGCGAGUGAAGCGGCAAAAGCCCAAACUGGAAAUCUUCACGCUGCGCGUGACGAAUUGUAAUCUAAAGGUGGAUCGCUCACCGGGUGGCGGCGCAGAAGUUCCCACGAACGGGACGCCAGAGAGGGUGACAGCCCCGUAUGUGGCGCCGGCGCCUAACGAGCCUCUUCCUACGAGUCGGGUUGUUUUGAAUUGCAGCCCUAAGCGGGGGAUAGACUUCCUCUAAGGCUAAAUAUCUAUGGGAAACCGAUAGCGAACAAGUACUGUGAAGGAAAGAUGAAAAGAACUUUGAAAAGAGAGUCAAAAGACUUGAAAUCGUUGAGAAGGAA